AGGAUGAACGCUGGCGGUCUGCUUAACACAUGCAAGUCGAACGGAGUACCUCGGUACUUAGUGGCGGACGGGUGAGUAACGCGUGAGAAUCUGCCCUUAGGUCGGGGACAACCAUUGGAAACGAUGGCUAAUACCGGAUAAGCCGAGAGGUAAAAGAUUAAUUGCCUAGGGAAGAGCUCGCGUCUGAUUAGCUAGUUGGUGAGGUAAAGGCUCACCAAGGCAUCGAUCAGUAGCUGGUCUGAGAGGACGAUCAGCCACACUGGGAUUGAGAACGGCCCAGACUCCUACGGGGGGCAGCAGUGAGGAAUUUCCGCAAUGGAGGCAACUCUGACGGAGCAACGCCGCGUGCAGGAGGAAGGUUUUCGGAUCGUAAACUGCUUUUCUCGGGGACGAGCAAGGACGGUACCCGAGGAAGAAGCCCCGGCUAACUACGUGCCAGCAGCCG
rnacentral:rRNA from 1 species